UCUGCUGAAAAUCACCGUGAGCAAGGAAUGUGCUGUGGUUGAGUCACAGUGAGGAGACAGCAGAGGUAGGAAAGACACGAGACAGCCCAUCCCAACUGGCUGGUGAUGGUGACCUUGGCUAUGGCAGCAUCAACUGGAACGGAACAGAAGGGACUGAUACUGAAUUUGGAAGUUCUGCUUUUGUGCUCCUGACUUGGAAAAUAAGGAUACAUAUAACAACUGCUUGAAAUAGAAGAUCUUACUUAGUGGCACCUAAAUAUGGACCAGCCUUUCUGGGUUAAGUUUUGUUUGUUUCAUUUUUGAGAGGCAGAAUGAGUUCACCCAUCUGCUGGUUAACUCGCCAAAGGCCUGCAAUGACUGGGAGCUGGGAACCA